CAGUAGCCACGGGAAGACAGAGGAUGCAAGCGUUAUCCGGAAUGAUUGGGCGUAAAGCGUCUGUAGGUGGCUUUUCAAGUCCGCCGUCAAAUCCCAGGGCUCAACCCUGGACAGGCGGUGGAAACUACCAAGCUGGAGUACGGUAGGGGGACCUGGAACUUCCGGUGGAGCGGUGAAAUGCGUUGAGAUCGGAAGGAACGCCCGUGGCGAAAGCGAGGUCCUGGACGUCUGCUGACGCUGAGACGCGAAAGCCAGGGGAGCGAACGGGAUUAGAUACCCCAGUAGUCCCUGUCUCUUAUAC
rnacentral:rRNA from 1 species